rnacentral:lncRNA from 1 species
UACUGCAAAUUAGACAUAAAGUUAAAUCAGAAAGUGAAUUCUGAGAAAAAUAAAUAAGAUUGCCCAUUGUUCACACUUUAGCUGAAAAAAUAUAGACUUUGGAAAUAGAUUCACCAGGACUUAAUUUUCUUCUCUUCUACCCUUUUUAAAAUUUGUGCAAUAUUCCACAGGACAUAUUUUCUGAGACUAAAUUUCCUAAUUUGAAAGAAGGAAUCUCAAUAUGAGGAAAUAAAGUAAACUUAUCAAGAUACAAGUUCAUAUAUAAUGGAAUUGGAGGUUGGCUUGGACCCUCAGCCUAGCUUCCCUGCUCUCAGACAGUGGUGGGUGGAAGUUGUUCAACAACCUGGGAGAGAGAACAAGAUGGGAGUGGUGGUGAGAGUAAGUUCUUGAGAAAAUAACAGUCUCCUCUAGGGAGAGAUCAAGGUUGCAGUAAACUUUAUGAUUGCACUACUGUACUCCAACCUGGGAGAAAGAGUAAGACCCAGUCUCAAAAAUGAAUAAAUAAAUAAAUAAAUAAAUAAAUAAAUAAAUAAAACCUCAAGGAGUUAGGCUUCUCCAUUUUGUUUAUU